AAGUCGUAACAAGGUUUCCGUAGGUGAACCUGCGGAAGGAUCAUUAUUGAAUUCAACGCGGAGUUGUGCUGGCUCGUCAAGAGCAUGUGCACGCUUUGCAUAUAUUCAACCACCUGUGAAUCUAUUGUAGAUCUGAGAAUAGUUCUCAAGGAAACUUGGAUGUAGAGCUUGCUGGCUUCAGUUUGAGGUCGACUUGCUCUUGCUUCUCAGGUCUAUGUCUCUACAUACCCCGUAGCAUGUUAUAGAAUGUCAUAAAUGGCUUUAAAGCCUUUAAACUUUAUACAACUUUCAACAACGGAUCUCUUGGCUCUC
rnacentral:misc_RNA from 1 species